AGUUCAACUUCCUAUACGGUGUGACCUUUUAAUUCCAGUGUUAAGUUCUUUAUUGCAAGCGUUCUUGUUUUUCAGUUUAAUUUCUAAUGUUACACAGCUCUGCUUUUAGUUUUUACAAAACAAAUGAAUUCAAAUCUACUCGAAAUACAUCUUCAAACACCUCUGCUGCAUAAAAAGGCGCAAGAUUAAGAAAAUAAUCCACCAGCCCGUAUGCUGCAGUUCCCAGGCUCCGUGACAGUGGGUUUUUCUCCACACACAUCUUCAUCUGUGGCCCUGGGUGUUUAUGGAGUGGAAAGUGCAGGCCUGCUCUCAAAGUGAAUUGAAGUCUUCGUGUCCUGUGCACCUGAAUAAAAGGAUGUGAAGUUUCAGACUGAUGACCGCUUGGACAGCUAAAUGACACCAAGUGCACCACAAAAUGAAAUGUAUGAUCAUUUUGGAAAAGUCACACUUCACCAUCCAAAAAAGCAACAAAUCCAGCUGUAUAAAUGGGGAAAAACUGCAUAUGAAGUGUAAACAGUACCGGCCAGCAUGGGUUAAACUGCUGUUAGGCAAAUAAAUAUCUUGACGUAAUUG
rnacentral:lncRNA from 1 species